rnacentral:tRNA from 1 species
GGGCGAUUAGCUCAAUUGGCUAGAGCGUCUCAUUGACGUUGAGAAGGUUAUAGGUUCGAGUCCUAUAUCGCCCA